GUAGGGAAUAUUGGGCAAUGGGUGCAAGCCUGACCCAGCCAUCCCGCGUGCCGGAUGAAGGCCCUCUGGGUCGUAAACGGCUUUUGACGGUGAAGAACCGAAAGGGUGCGCCCUUUUUUGACGGUAGCCGUUGAAUAAGCACCGGCUAACUCCGUGCCAGCAGCCGCGGUAAUACGGAGGGUGCGAGCGUUGUCCGGAUUUAUUGGGUUUAAAGGGUGCGUAGGCUGGAGGGACAGUCAGCGGUGAAAAGCAGUUGCUCAACAAUUGUCUUGCCGCAGAUACUACCUUUCGUGGAUUGGGAGGAGGUUACCGGAACGGAUGGUGUAGCGGUGAAAUGCAUAGAUAUCAUCCAGAACGCCAAUUGCGAAGGCAGGUAACUGUACCUAUAUCGACGCUGAUGCACGAAAGCAUGGGUAGCGAACAGGAUUAGAAACCCGAGUGUCC
rnacentral:rRNA from 1 species